rnacentral:rRNA from 1 species
UUGAACGCUGGCGGCAGGCCUAACACAUGCAAGUCGAACGGUAACAGGAAGCAGCUUGCUGCUUUGCUGACGAGUGGCGGACGGGUGAGUAAUGUCUGGGAAACUGCCUGAUGGAGGGGGAUAACUACUGGAAACGGUAGCUAAUACCGCAUAACGUCGCAAGACCAAAGAGGGGGACCUUAGGGCCUCUUGCCAUCGGAUGUGCCCAGAUGGGAUUAGCUAGUAGGUGGGGUAACGGCUCACCUAGGCGACGAUCCCUAGCUGGUCUGAGAGGAUGACCAGCCACACUGGAACUGAGACACGGUCCAGACUCCUACGGGAGGCAGCAGUGGGGAAUAUUGCACAAUGGGCGCAAGCCUGAUGCAGCCAUGCCGCGUGUAUGAAGAAGGCCUUCGGGUUGUAAAGUACUUUCAGCGGGGAGGAAGGGAGUAAAGUUAAUACCUUUGCUCAUUGACGUUACCCGCAGAAGAAGCACCGGCUAACUCCGUGCCAGCAGCCGCGGUAAUACGGAGGGUGCAAGCGUUAAUCGGAAUUACUGGGCGUAAAGCGCACGCAGGCGGUUUGUUAAGUCAGAUGUGAAAUCCCCGGGCUCAACCUGGGAACUGCAUCUGAUACUGGCAAGCUUGAGUCUCGUAGAGGGGGGUAGAAUUCCAGGUGUAGCGGUGAAAUGCGUAGAGAUCUGGAGGAAUACCGGUGGCGAAGGCGGCCCCCUGGACGAAGACUGACGCUCAGGUGCGAAAGCGUGGGGAGCAAACAGGAUUAGAUACCCUGGUAGUCCACGCCGUAAACGAUGUCGACUUGGAGGUUGUGCCCUUGAGGCGUGGCUUCCGGAGCUAACGCGUUAAGUCGACCGCCUGGGGAGUACGGCCGCAAGGUUAAAACUCAAAUGAAUUGACGGGGGCCCGCACAAGCGGUGGAGCAUGUGGUUUAAUUCGAUGCAACGCGAAGAACCUUACCUGGUCUUGACAUCCACGGAAGUUUUCAGAGAUGAGAAUGUGCCUUCGGGAACCGUGAGACAGGUGCUGCAUGGCUGUCGUCAGCUCGUGUUGUGAAAUGUUGGGUUAAGUCCCGCAACGAGCGCAACCCCUAUCUUCAGUAGCCAGCAGGUAAGGCUGGGCACUCUGGAGAGACUGCCGGGGAUAACCCGGAGGAAGGUGGGGAUGACGUCAAAUCAUCAUGCCCCUUAUGAUUUGGGCUACACACGUGCUACAAUGGCAGUUACAAAGAGAAGCAAACCUGUGAAGGCGAGCAAACCUCAUAAAGUGCGUCGUAGUCCGGAUUGGAGUCUGCAACUCGACUCCAUGAAGUCGGAAUCGCUAGUAAUCGUGGAUCAGAAUGCCACGGUGAAUACGUUCCCGGGCCUUGUACACACCGCCCGUCACACCAUGGGAGUGGGUUGCAAAAGAAGUAGGUAGCUUAACCUUCGGGAGGGCGCUUACCACUUUGUGAUUCAUGACUGGGGUG